rnacentral:rRNA from 1 species
UGGGGAAUAUUGGACAAUGGGCGAAAGCCUGAUCCAGCCAUGCCGCGUGAGUGAUGAAGGCCCUAGGGUUGUAAAGCUCUUUCACCGGUGAAGAUAAUGACGGUAGCCGGAGAAGAAGCCCCGGCUAACUUCGUGCCAGCAGCUGCGGUAAUACGAAGGGGGCUAGCGUUGUUCGGAAUUACUGGGCGUAAAGCGCACGUAGGCGGAUUGUUAAGUCGGGGGUGAAAUCCCGGGGCUCAACCCCGGAACUGCCUUCGAUACUGGCAAUCUAGAGUCCGGAAGAGGUGAGUGGAAUUCCGAGUGUAGAGGUGAAAUUCGUAGAUAUUCGGAGGAACACCAGUGGCGAAGGUGGCUCACUGGUCCGGUACUGACGCUGAGGUGCGAAAGCGUGGGGAGCAAACA